AUUGAACGCUGGCGGCAGGCCUAACACAUGCAAGUCGAACGAGUGGCGGACGGGUGAGUAAUGUCUGGGAAACUGCCUGAUGGAGGGGGAUAACUACUGGAAACGGUAGCUAAUACCGCAUACCAUCAGAUGUGCCCAGAUGGGAUUAGCUAGUGGGUGGGGUAACGGCUCACCAAGGCGACGAUCCCUAGCUGGUCUGAGAGGAUGACCAGCCACACUGGAACUGAGACACGGUCCAGACUCCUACGGGAGGCAGCAGUGGGGAAUCUUGCACAAUGGGCGCAAGCCUGAUGCAGCCAUGCCGCGUGUAUGAAGAAGGCCUUCGGAUUGUAAAGUACUUUCAGCAGGGAGGCGUUACCCGCAGAAAAAGCACCGGCUAACUCCGUGCCAGCAGCCGCGGUAAUAC
rnacentral:rRNA from 1 species